rnacentral:rRNA from 1 species
GAUGAACGCUAGCGGCAGGCCUAACACAUGCAAGUCGAGGGGUAACAGGAAAGCUUGCUUUUGCUGACGACCGGCGCACGGGUGCGUAACGCGUAUGCAACCUACCUCAUACAGGAGAAUAGCCCUUGGAAACGAGGAUUAAUACUCCAUGGUAUCAUUUUUUCGCAUGUUAAAAUGAUUAAAGAAUUUCGGUAUGAGAUGGGCAUGCGUCCCAUUAGCUAGUUGGUGAGGUAACGGCUCACCAAGGCGACGAUGGGUAGGGGGCCUGAGAGGGUGGUCCCCCACACUGGUACUGAGACACGGACCAGACUCCUACGGGAGGCAGCAGUGAGGAAUAUUGGUCAAUGGAGGCAACUCUGAACCAGCCAUGCCGCGUGAAGGAUGACGGCCCUAUGGGUUGUAAACUUCUUUUAUAUGGGAAGAAACUUAUCUACGUGUAGAUAACUGACGGUACCAUACGAAUAAGGAUCGGCUAACUCCGUGCCAAUAG